GCUCUUCGGAGUUUCUGGAUUAGGAUGAGCCUGCGGGCUAUCAGCUUGUUGGUAGGGUAAAAGCCUACCAAGGCUAUGACGGCUAGGGGGGGUGAGAGCUUGAUCCCCACCAAUGGCACUGCGACACGGGCCAUACACCUACGGGUGGCUGCAGUCGAGAAUCUUCCACAAUGGGCGAAAGCCUGAUGGAGCGACGCCGCGUGUUUGAUGACGCUCUUCGGAGUGUAAAAGACUUUUAUCACUGAAAAAGCCCUGUUUGCCGUCAGGCAGGCUUCGGGUUGAUAUUAGGUGAUGAAUAAGGGGUUGCUAAACUCGUGCCAGCAGCAGCGGUAAUACGAGUGCCCCGAGCGUUGUCCGGAAUUACUGGGCGUAAAGAGUGUGUAGGGGGUAUUGUUAGUCUUGCUUUAAAUUUCUAUGCUCAACAUAGAAAAUGGGCGAGAAACGGCAAUACUCUGAGGAUGCGAGAGGCUAAUGGAACUCUGGGUGUAGGGGUGAAAUCCGUUGAUAUCCAGGGGAACACCGAAAGCGAAGGCAAUUGGCUGGCGCAUUCCUGACCCUGAGACACGAAAGCGUGGGUAGCGAAAGGGAUUAGAUACCCCUGUAGUCCACGCCCUAAACGAUGUCUACUAGCUUUCCGAAGUAUCGACCCUUUGGGAGGCGAAGCUAACGCGUUAAGUAGACCGCCUGGGAAGUACGGUCGCAAGACUAAAACUCAAAGGAAUAGACGGGGACUUGCACAAGCGGUGGAUCAUGCGGUUUAAUUCGUCAAUAAACGAAGAACCUUACCAGGGCUUGACAUGCUUGUGAAAUCUCGCCGAAAGGCAAGACUUCUCACAAGGACACAAGCACAGGUGCUGCAUGGUUGUCGUCAGUUCGUGAUUUGAAUUGUUCCCUUAAGUGGGGUAACGAACGCAACCCUUGUCGUCUGUUAUAUGUGUCAGACGAGACUGCCCCCAUAAGGGGGAGGAAGGUGAGGAUGACGCCAAAUCAGCAUGGCCCUUUGAUGCCCUGGGCGACACGCAUGAUACAAUGGCCGGUACAACGGGUUGCCAAGCCGCGAGGCGGAGCUAAUCCCAUCAAAACCGGUCUCAGUUCGGAUUGGAGUCUGCAACUCGACUCCAUGAAGCUGGAAUCGCUAGUAAUCGCGGGUCAGCCAUACCGCGGUGAAUACGUUCUCAAGUCUUGUACUCACCGCCCGUCAAUGCAGGGGAGCUGGGAAUACCUGAAGCGUACAUCUGAUGUGCCCAAUGGUAAGUUCAGUAACAAGGCAUAAGUCGUAACAAGGCAC
rnacentral:rRNA from 1 species